rnacentral:rRNA from 1 species
CCUACGGGUGGCUGCAGUGGGGAAUAUUGGACAAUGGGGGAAACCCUGAUCCAGCAAUGCCGCGUGAAUGAAGAAGGCCUUAGGGUUGUAAAGUUCUUUUGUCCGUGACGAUAAUGACGGUAGCGGACGAAUAAGCCCUGGCUAACUCUGUGCCAGCAGCCGCGGUAAUACAGAGAGGGCAAGCGUUGUCCGGAAUGACUGGGCGUAAAGCGCGCGCAGGCGGUCUUUUAAGUUGGGUGUGAAAUCCCCGGGCUUAACCUGGGAACUGCAUUCGAUACUGGAAGACUAGAGGCCGAGAGAGGAAAGCGGAAUGACGAGUGUAGAGGUGAAAUUCGUAGAUAUUCGUCGGAACACCAGAGGCGAAGGCGGCUUUCUGGCUCGGACCUGACGCUCAGGCGCGAAAGCGUGGGGAGCAAACAGGAUUAGAUACCCCAGUAGUC